UACGUAGGGUGCAAGCGUUGUCCGGAAUUAUUGGGCGUAAAGAGCUCGUAGGCGGUUUGUUGCGUCGGCUGUGAAAUCCCGAGGCUCAACCUCGGGUCUGCAGUCGAUACGAGCAAACUAGAGUGUUGCAGGGGAGACUGGAAUUCCUGGUGUAGCGGUGAAAUGCGCAGAUAUCAGGAGGAACACCGGUGGCGAAGGCGGGUCUCUGGGCAACAACUGACGCUGAGGAGCGAAAGCAUGGGUAGCGAACAGG
rnacentral:rRNA from 1 species